rnacentral:rRNA from 1 species
GAUGAACGCUGGCGGCGUGCCUAAUACAUGCAAGUCGAGCGAACAGACGAGGAGCUUGCUCCUCUGACGUUAGCGGCGGACGGGUGAGUAACACGUGUAUAACCUACCUAUAAGACUGGGAUAACUUCGGGAAACCGGAGCUAAUACCGGAUAAUAUAUUGCACCGCAUGGUUCAAUAGUGAAAGACGGUUUUGCUGUCACUUAUAGAUGGAUCCGCGCCGCAUUAGCUAGUUGGUAAGGUAACGGCUUACCAAGGCUACGAUGCGUAGCCGACCUGAGAGGGUGAUCGGCCACACUGGAACUGAGACACGGUCCAGACUCCUACGGGAGGCAGCAGUAGGGAAUCUUCCGCAAAGGGCGAAAGCCUGACGGAGCAACGCCGCGUGAGUGAUGAAGGUCUUCGGAUCGUAAAACUCUGUUAUUAGGGAAGAACAAAUGUGUAAGUAACUAUGCACGUCUUGACGGUACCUAAUCAGAAAGCCACGGCUAACUACGUG